GACGAACGCUGGCGGCGUGCUUAACACAUGCAAGUCGAGCGAUUACACCUUAACAGUGCCCUGCUGGGCGAAGAGACAGUGGAUUGGCGGCGGACGGGGGAGUAACACGUGCGUAAGGUGCUAUAGUUCGUGGGAUAGCCUCGGAAAACCAGGGGUAUUACCAACGAAAAUCUUAAUGACACAUGUCGGCACACGCAAAAGUUCGUUGGUCUAAGCGGGACUCGUGUCCCAUUUGAUAGUUGGUAGGGUAAAAGCCUACCAAGGCGACGAUGGGUAGCCGGGGAGAGAGGCUGAACCGACACAUUGGAACUGAGAAACAGUCCAAAAUCCUACGGGAGGGAGGAGUGGGGAAUAUUGCACAAUGGAGGGAAUUCUGAUGCAGCGACGCCGCGUGAACGAAGAAGGCUUUCGAGAAGUAAAGUUCUUUUAUAUGGGAAGAUAAUGACGGUACCAAAAGAAAAAGCCCCGGCUAACUACGUG
rnacentral:rRNA from 1 species